GCUGGAGCUCCAGCAGUCAUCUUGAGCAAUGAAGUGACCUCGGAAAUGGAAACUAGACCCAGCAGGUCAAUAAGAUAGAAGGAGCCUGGGUCCCUGACAGCAUGUAUUUGUCAAACCAGCCCAGGGAUGUUUGCCUCCAGACUUCAAGCACAUGAGCAAAAAAGAUGCGCAUUUAUCUUAUGUAAACCAAACUUAACUCUGAUACAGGCCCCUCCUCCGGUAGAAUCACUGCAAGACUCAUGUGUGGCUGGGUUGGGUGGCAGGAAUAGGUGCCUGGAAGAGGAGAGUUGCCAGGGAUGUGACACCCCCUCAAGGAGCACUUUCUUCUGCAUGCCCUACAAGGCCAUGAGGAGCCCUGUUGGGAGGUCUUAGCUUUCAGAGGAGCUGGGGAUAGAUGGAUGGAUGGAUGGUUAGAUGGAUGAAGAAAAGGAAGGAAGGAAAGAAGGAAAGGAGGAAGGAAAGAGUCAGGUGCCCUACUGGAGAAUUCUGACUGCCCACGAGAUGAGCUCUGGCGUGGAGGGAGCUGUGGACAGAAUCAAGAAUAAAAGGGUCCUGGAAGUCCAAGUGUGACCUCCAACCAGCAGCUGAAGCCCUGAGCCUCUGCUCCCACCUCUGGAAUCAGACAAGGACAAGGGGAUGAUUCUGGGCAGGGGUUUGGGAAUCAUACAGAGGUGAAUUUGAAACCACCUUGGACAAAGUUACCUAAUUGCUCUCUGCCUUUGGUUCAUCUUCUGUUUUUAAACAGAAACACCAGAGCUGGGCUCAGAGGGCUGUGGAGAGGAUUAACUGAGUGGCUGCCAGCUGAGAGCCUGGCACCUGGGACAAGUUCCACAAAUAUUCUGUAGUGAGCUGCUAUUUCCCUCCUGUCUGGAUGGGGAGUGAACUGAAAGUGUCUGAGCUCAAGUCUAGAAUUCCUUGAUUCACAGUCCUGUGAUUUGCCGAUUCUGACUCUGGGAUCUAAGGACUGGGGAUGACAUAAUGACACAGGUCUGCCCAGCCCAGCCCUGGCCCAGCACCUGACAGCCCACAUCAUUUUACCUCCACAAGUGGCCUUCACCCUGCCCGUCAUGUGCCCCCAGCCCCAUGACAGCCAUUUCUGACCCUCUACUGCGGUCUCACCUGGAGUCGGGGCAGCACGAGCCCCUCCAGCUGACUUCCUCACACCUACAGUCCCCUGACAAUGUCACAUGCUGUGGAAGUUGGCAGGGCCAGAGAUGCCAACACAAACACCCUGCCUGUGGAGGGACAAGAGCCCAUGGGGGUUAUUUUUAACCUGUUGAUCAGAGGCCACUGCUCUGGCCCUGGGAGGCCUGGGGCUGGGGGCUCUGAGGGGGAAGCGAGCUGUCAGGCCUCACCUCAAUGACUCUCAAGGGCAUCAUGCUGCAGGGGCCCUAGCCUUCACCCCACUUUGAUGGAGAACGGGAGAGGAAGACACAGAUGAGGACAUGCUCCAUCUUGUCCCUGGUCUCAGCUGGGAUUGAGCUCAGCCAGGAAGAGCAAGGGUGCCACGUAUGGCAGAACAGUGAACCUGGAGAUGGGGCCUCUCCAGUCCCUGCAGUGCAUAGCUAAGGACACAGACCUGAGAGAGGAGGCCCAAGGACACACCGCUGGUGAGCACCAGCUCCCUGUCCCCUUCUUUACCCACAGAUCUGAAGUCUGACACAGGCAUUUCAAUAACUCCCCAAAGCCGCAUCCUGGGGGUCACCUUGCCCCAUCCCCCUGCCUCGUGGACCACCUUUCCUCUGCCUCUUCCCGGUCUGUCCAACCCUGGUGGACUGAGCCCCUGACAACCUCAAGAUGAGGCCCCCAGGCCUCAUCCUGCAAGGACUUCCCAGGUGCCCAAGCAGUGCCCCCCGGAGGCCAGCAGCAGCAGUGGCCAGAGCAGUGGGCAGCGCCAUGGUGGCUGGAGGCCCAGGCGAGGACGUGCGGGCCAGGGCGUGCCUGCGUGGGGGGAGCAGGACCAGGCUUCUGCCAAGAGCCCGCUGCCGCUGCUGCCGAGCCUGUGCUCGCCAGAAGGGGGGGAGCGGCAAGCAGACAAUGGACCCCACAGCCCAGCCUCCCGGCCUUGGCCCCUUGAGCUGGGCAGGCAGCUGCUGGCCAAAGCAGCCGCCUCCGCUGGCCCCUCACGUAGCCCACGUCCUGCCUGCUGGGUGGCCUUAUCACCGGGUACGUGCCAGGAGCCCACAUGCCCACACUGCAGUGGGGAGGGGACUGGAGGCCUGGGAUGGAUAGAACCACUGGGGAGUAAGGCUUCCUGCUCCCCCCAUGACUCCCAAGGAGGGGCCUGAGCAGGCCCUGAGUACCCUUUGGGGACUGUCCCAUCCCCAGAGAGACCUUAGCCCCAUCUUGCCAAGUCCCAGCUCUCAGCUACUCUUCUCUUGGACUGCCAGGAUAGGGGUGGGGGAGAAGGAAAAGGCUGACAUCAUCCUGUGAUUACUCUGGGUCACCAGCUCACAAAUACCAAUUAUACUUCAAUAUAAUAAG
ensembl:lncRNA